UCCGGUUUGGCACCGGCAGUCUCCCAUGAGUCCCCGACUCUACGGGUCGCCGACCCUUUCGGGCGACUACUGCCAACAUGUCAAGCCCUGGUAAGGUUCUUCGCUUUGCAUCGAAUUAAGCCACGCGCUCCGCCGCUUGUGCGGGCCCCCGUCAAUUCCUUUGAGUUUUAGCCUUGCGGCCGUACUCCCCAGGCGGGGUGCUUAAUGCGUUAGCUGCGGCACGGAAGUCUUGCGACCCCCACACCUAGCACCCACCGUUUACGGCUAGGACUAC
rnacentral:misc_RNA from 1 species